UACGGGGGGGGCAAGCGUUGUUCGGAAUUACUGGGCGUAAAGGGCUCGUAGGCGGCCAACUAAGUCAUACGUGAAAUCCCUCGGCUUAACCGGGGAACUGCGUCUGAUACUGGAUGGCUUGAGUUCGGGAGAGGGAUGCGGAAUUCCAGGUGUAGCGGUGAAAUGCGUAGAUAUCAGGAGGAACACCGGUGGCGAAAGCGCUCGUCUGGCCCAAUACUGACGCUGAUGCGCGAAAGCUAGGGGAGCAAACGGG
rnacentral:rRNA from 1 species